UAUCCACAUUGACAGAGAAGCAUUAUAAAAUAAGUCCAAGAAAGUGAAUCAUACAUAGCAUGUUUCAUUGUCUCCUUUCUUUUCAUUUUUCCUGUCA
rnacentral:ribozyme from 15 species